UUUCACCACCGGCCCUAACCAUGGACCGGCCAUAAAAUGCAAUCUAUUUUCACCAGCGGCUCCUACUACGGGUCGACAGUGAAAACGUUUUCACCGCCACAUUUAGAAACGGGCUGGCGGUGAAACCCUUUUAUCCAAAAGGCCUGACCCGAGCUUCUUCAAUUUCUCGACCUCCUCCUCCCAUGCUCUUUGCGCUCUGACUCCUCUAACGACCUCCACCCGCCUGCCUCCGCGCCGACACCUCCCCCGACCUUCGCCCGCCCGCUUCCACGCCGCCCUGCCGGAUGGGCCCCGAUUCCGGCGGCGCCCCGAACCUCCAUCCUCGACCCCCCCCUCCAUCUAGACCGCGUGGCCGACCGGCGCCGGCCCCUCCCUACACGGUCUGCGAGGAAGUGCCGGUGAGCGGCGAGCUCCCCUCCAGCCCCCCUCUGGCGAGCUCCCGUUCUGUGGUACGCCUGCCCCUUCGCUACCACCCUCGUAGGCUCCUGUAGGUGUAGCUAUGACCAUAAAGCUUGCAGUUGGUGAUUGGAAGAUGCAGCCAGAACUACAAUGAUCAUACACUUUCCGAUCA